AUGCUGCAGCUUAUCUGGAGCGGUGGGUGUGCUGGUUGCCCCCCCGGCCACAGCCAGACAGACCACACGAUAGCUGAGCUCAGCGUGUCUCUGUCUCAGUGAGGGCAAAUUGCCCGAGGACCUCCGUCCUCCAGAAGAUCUUCAUUGAUCUAUAGGUGCCUAAGACGGGGUCAAGCCUGCCUACCUGAGGGACCUAACUUGAGCUUAAAUUCCAGAAAGCUAGGGAGCCAGCCUUCUUCCAGUGUUUCUGCCCCUACCACAAGCAAUAGAAUAUCAUUGCUGCCUUUCUGAGACUAGAGACAGCAUCCGUGGCAGCGCAGAAUCCUCUUCUACGAGCAGUGACAUUGGCACAACGAAGAGCAGUUCUCCCUGCUACCAAUAACCAACCUCCCUUCAGAGGGCAAGCGGGUUUGCUUUGGGGAGAGCUCUUUGGAGCUAAGGCAGGAAAGGAGCUAACCGUGAAGAAGUGGGGACAGCUGAGACCUUGCGCUCAAGCUCACAUCCUUGUCUCCUUCCAGUAGUAGCAGCCCACCUUCAUACUUCCUAACGGCUCAAACAUGUCACAAGAUUAUACAAAUUCAAUGAAUUGUCACAAUCAGGAAGACUUUGCUGCUUACAGAACAACAAUUUUGGUCUGGUUAAAAUCAAUAUUUGCUGUUUUCUUUAUCAUCUGUGUUCUGAAAAACGCUUAAAUACAUGAUCAGCUUGAAGUUCACACUUAGCUUUUCCUAAAGUCAGUGAGGUAUUUCUUGAUAUAAGGCCUCCAUAUAAUUAGACACAGUUGAAGUACAGUUGCAGUCUCUUGAGACACUGUUUUUUGUAUGGCACAGAGGGUGUGCUGGACCCUUUACAAAUGUAAAUAGAGACACAGCCCAUGGCCUGGGGAAUUGUUGAACCAGCUCAGACUGACACAGAAAAGCCAUGAAAAACGUAAAUACUGGCUUCUGGUUCAACUCAAGAAUGGAGCAGACCUUGUGAAGAGAUUAGAAAGAUGCUCUGUUGUGUAGGACUGAAUAAGCCAGGCCCACAGCGUCAUAGAAAAGUCGGUUGGAAGAGAUGUCUGGAGGUCGCCUGGUCAUGCAGUCCAACCUCCCUCUCGAAGCAGGACUGCCACCAGUGCUAGAGCAGCCUUUAGUCUGAAGGAACGUUGGGAAAUUUUUUUCAUUGCUGUGCAUCACAGAGUAUCAUUACCCUUUAAAAAUCUUAUGUACAGCUUCUCCAGAAUUAUCCUGCACAUCAGGAUCAGGCCCAGGUGACUCACUAUACAUGAAAAAGUGCAAUUAUGAAGAUCAAAGUAAAGCCAAAACGAGAAGUCACUGGGCUUCACUGAGCUGCAAAAACACAGUCAAGAGUCAUUUUAGGUAGUAAAGGGUUAUCCCUGUAGCAUCCCGCUGCUGCUGCAGCAGGGUUCUGGUUUCCCAUAAGUCCCAUCAUAACUGUCUGUCACGUCUGCCAGCCCUGCAUAGAUGCCUCCUUAUGGUACCAGGGAAUCUCAACAAGACACCUAUAUUUAGGCACCUGAAUGAGCUCCACCGACUGUACUAAAUCGAUUUCAGCUGACUACAACAGGAGCUUACACAACAUGCCCUCAGAUAAACAUCUGCAUAUAGACACCUAUAGGAGCCAAAUCCUACCCUGAAUGGCAAGUCAGGAGGUUUCUGGAAGAAAAGGAGUUUUGAACACUGCUUGAAAGAACAGUAUGGUCAUCACCCAUCUUUAUUGUGGAGAUACAUAUCCCAUACCCUUCAUGUUUCAAAGGAAGUGAUUAGGAGGCCAAGCCGUAAGAGCCUGGACUCUCAGUCUG